rnacentral:rRNA from 1 species
GACGAACGCUGGCGGCGUGCCUAAUACAUGCAAGUAGAACGCACAGUUUAUACCGUAGCUUGCUACACCAUAAACUGUGAGUUGCGAACGGGUGAGUAACGCGUAGGUAACCUGCCUGGUAGCGGGGGAUAACUAUUGGAAACGAUAGCUAAUACCGCAUAAUAUUGAUUAUUGCAUGAUAAUUGAUUGAAAGAUGCUAUUGCAUCACUACCAGAUGGACCUGCGUUGUAUUAGCUAGUAGGUGAGGUAACGGCUCACCUAGGCGACGAUACAUAGCCGACCUGAGAGGGUGAUCGGCCACAUUGGGACUGAGACACGGCCCAGACUCCUACGGGAGGCAGCAGUAGGGAAUCUUCGGCAAUGGACGAAAGUCUGACCGAGCAACGCCGCGUGAGUGAGGAAGGUUUUCGGAUCGUAAAGCUCUGUUGUAAGAGAAGAACGGGUGUGAGAGUGGAAAGUUCACACUGUGACGGUAUCUUACCAGAAAGGGACGGCUAACUACGUG